rnacentral:lncRNA from 1 species
GGGGUCGACUCUACUGUCUCCUGUGUGAAAUACAUGUCAUCCUCAGAGCUCUUGACAAAAUUGGCCUUAGAGACUGGCACGGGAGACUGGACUGUCCUCCUUCCUUUUGCUCUGUUCUAUGCUUUAGAAACAGUCCGAAGUGGAAUUUGGAGCCAAGUGAAGGACGCCUACAAGACAGGAAGUCCAGGGAGUCCAGGGUGCCUCACCCAUUCCCAGCGGGAGAUGCAGACCUGGUCUGGCGACAACAGGCUGAGAACUUAGAACCUCACUGGAAAGGACCCUAUCUAGUACUGUUAACCACUCCCACUGUUCUUAAGCUCCUGCCCCCUUCGGGCUGACAGCACCAGACAGACCCCCAGUUUAGAUAACUGGAAAGCCAGCUCCUCACCAAUGCCGCUUGAUGCUCCAGUAAUCCACACCACCUUGUCAGCCAGUGCCUGUUCUGUGGAGGAAGGAGGAGACUUGGCUGGGAUUGUGAUGCUCAGACAUCACGGAGAAGCGAAACAGCAGUGGGAUGUGGUGGCACACACUUGGGAUCCCAGCACCCAGGAGGCAAAAGCAGGUGAAUCUC